rnacentral:rRNA from 1 species
UUUUUUGUGUGCCGUAAACAUAUAACGGUAAAAAGGUUCGCCGGGGAUAACAGGUUAUAGUAUAUAUGGAGCUCUAAUCCUUAUAUACUAUUGGCACCUCCAUGUCGUCUCAUCGCAGCCUUGCAAUAAAA